rnacentral:sRNA from 1 species
UCGAUGGUUCUUGCGGCAGUAACACGCAA